CUUCGACCUGAUCAAUUCUUGCUGGCACCAAGAUUCCAUCAUUGUCUCCCUGUCUUCCACAAUCAGCAUGACCCCCAUUGGGAUCGCAGAUGCCACUCGAUCUAGGUCAUUGAUCGACCUAGGCCACUCUCAAUCCAUAUCACGCUUGGGCCCAGCAUCCCCCUUGGCCUCACAAUCUUUUAGCAGGCUUCUGGCAUGUUUUAGUUUGGAGGAGCGUGCCUCACACAUCAUAGUAUCGCACGGGCUUGGGCCACCCUCCUGGCUCAGGCCAGCCCCCUCCAUUGGGCCAAAAUCCAUGAGAGUUGAGAAAGUCAAUCCAACCCCCAACUUCGACU
rnacentral:lncRNA from 1 species